UCUUGUUGAUGAACAAAGAAAGUAGUUUCUUGAAAUGGAAUCUACUCUUGUUGCAGAUACUGUAAA
rnacentral:pre_miRNA from 4 species